CUCAACUUGCAUCCGGGGCCUUUUCCCGGCCUUGGCGGGGUGGUAAAUGGGGAGGCCUAGCAGCCGCCGCCGGUAUCUUUUGCUCUGGACCAGGUGGCGGGAUCUAGGGUUCUGUUGUCACCGCGCUAGGGAGCGGUCAGGCUGGGCGGCGGAGCCGGGCUCGGGGGUUGCAGUAGAUGAGACACCGCUGCUGGUUGCCAGACUUGGUGUAGGUAGGUGGAUGUUGGUGAGCGGGAGCAGCGAGUUCCUUCCCAUGCAGGUUCCUUAAGCCUCAGGGCCCGGUGCGACAGUCCAGCUUCCCGACGCCUUAGUCUUUGGUCUGCAGUCCGUCUGUCUUCUAGCUUCACCUGUGAUUUCCCCGGCCCAACUGCCCUCAUUUCAAUCGAAGGUAAAGCACAGUGAAAUAAUUCAAGAUGGUCCCUAAUAUAAACUGGAAAGAAAUCAUGAAAGUUGACCCAGAUGACCUUUCUUGUCAAGAAGAAUUGGCAGAUAAUUUAUUCAUUUCCUUAUCUAAGGUGGAAGUAAAUGAGCUAAAAAAUGAAAGUCAAGAAAAUGUGAUACACGUUUUCAGAAUUACUCAGUCACUAAUGAAGAAAACCAAUUAAAAACUAAAGUAAUGAAACUGGAAAAUGAACUAGAGAUGAGGAAACGGAGGCACAGAAAGCCUAAAGCACUGAACCUGAUUACUUUUAUUCUGAUGGCUCUCUUCUGCUCAAUAUGAGUGCUGUUUCAAAGACUCCAAGGACAUCAGACCCUUGCCCAGCAACUCACGGCUCUCCUGCGUUUAAGGGCACCAAGGCCAUUCUGAGAAUGCUCUUCUAAGACAUACAGCCAUGUGCUGGUGCAGCCAACAUGGAAGUGAACUCUCUCACUGUGGACAUUGACAAUAAAUCCUAUCAGAAGGACCCAACAGAAUACCCUAGAAGAGGGUACCUAGGCCUCAACAAUCAGAAAUCACUGGUUCAUUAGUGCUACAGUCCAGCUUGAACCAAAGAAAUGUUUAUUCAAAUGGGAAACACUUAGCAACAAAUUCAUCCAGCAAUUAUUUAUUGUCUUAUUAGGUGCUAGCACUGUACUAGACACAGAAAAGGAUAGGAAACAAAGCCACCUCCCGUUUCAAGAUUUGUACAAGUCAGAAGGAAUAACAACAGGUAGACUGGCUAAAGUUCACAAAACAAGAGAAUUAACUCAAAAUAUGUAUGCAGACAUUUAACCAGAAAAUUGCAGAACAUAGAAGAGAAAUGUGUUAGCUGAAGAGAAAUUAGGAUCUAGAAUCCAUGUGGGCUAGGGCAGUCAGGGAGAGAAGAAUUUAGGAGAUGAAUGGGAGAAAUUAUUGAGGCCACUAGGAGGAAUUUUGAGUCCUUUUAAAGAUUCCAGACAUUUCACUGGAAAAGGUAGCAUCUGGCUAUAUUACUGCCAGAGGCCAUUGUCCUCCUGUGAGGCUGAAAGGCCUUGCCAUCUGCUGGAUGAUACUAAUGCUAAUACAGGAGCCAUUUGCUUAUUAUGACUUCUGCCCAGGAGGGAUGGAUUUACCCACAAAUCUAAUAGCACCUGGAAUGGAGUAAGAUAUGUUCUUGGAAAUCUCCCAGGCUGAAGUCUGACUGCUCUUAAGAGCUCUUCAUGAGAUAGUAGGCAAGAGUUGCUUAGGGAUCAUUUAUCAAUAAUUGGUGUGUUGGGAGAAGUACAAAACUUCUUUGGCAGAAGGAGGUAAACUAGGAAGAAUCUGAGAACCCCAGGGCCCUAAUUACCCUUCCCUUUCAUCCACCCUGCUUUCCCAGACCUACAAAAGGCCUCCGGUCUUCAAUGGUGAAAGAGUCACUUCUGAAGGGAGGAGAGAAAAAGAGGGAAGCAUUCUGGUAAAGGCCCCACUCUUCUUUCUGAGUUAGAAUUUCUUCUCUAGAUCGUAUUAUAGAAGUGGGGACAAUGUUUCCAACGGGCUGUGUUAAAAUAUUUUCUGUGACAGAGAAUUGGAGGCUCCAGGAGCCCUUUUGCCGUCUCAUUGGCAAAGAUUAUUAUUUCCGUGACACUCUGGAAAGACCGGUGCAUCUGGGGUGAUAGGAAAGGGAGGGCCAGACGUGGUGGAGUGCCCCCUCAUGGUUCCAGCCAUUUGGAAUAACCAGAGCACACCUCUAUCUUUCUGAUGAAUCAAAACUUUUCUCCCAGUAAUAAUAUUGAUUCUUUGCUACUGAAAUUGCAAAUACUUUUAUCCCAUUUGCUACUAGCUUCUAGUUCUGCUUAUGACCGUUUUUACUUACCAACGGAUUUUCAAAUAGCCAGCUCUACCAGCCUUGGCCUCUAUAGUUUCUACCUUUGGGUUGUACAUAAAGAAGCCUUCAAUAUCCAAUAUUAUAAAUCUAUAUUUCUUCUAAUUCUUUAGCACUAAUCCAUUCUUCUUUUGGGGUAUGACAUAACAAUCUAGUUUUAUUUUGUUUUUCCACAUAAUUAACUGAUUUUGCCAGGAUGACCUGUGGUUUUAUCCAUUCCUUCAAAUACUUGAAAUGCAUCUUAAUCAUACACUAAAUAUUUUAUAUACUUGGGUGUGGUAGAUUGUAGAAUCCCAAUCCUGACAAAUAUUUAAGAGCCCCUCUUAUGGAACCCCUCUGCAGGAGAACAGAACAUAUCCUGUGAACUCAGAUGUAGCCUUGUAACUUAUGUUGGUCAAUGAAAUGCAAGCAGGUAAGACAUGUAUCACUUACGAGCAGGUGGGUUAAGAGCCAGUGAGUGGUGGCUCAUCAUACUUUUCCAGGUUUGUAACAACACCAUCAAUGUUUCUAGAUAGAUCCUCCUCCACGUUCCCAGGUCCCAGGAUGAAAGCCACAUGGACAAGAGCUCAGCUGAACCAUAUGGAUAUAUAGCUUAUGACCCAUAUGGACACAUAAAGGCAAAAAAUAUACCUUUAUCAUAGUAAACUCCUGAGAUGUGUUACCAUAGCAAAACCCAGUCUAUCCUGACUAAGAUGUGUUUCUGGCCUCUCUCCUAUGCCUACUCUUGUGUCAGUUCUUAAUUAGCUAGACCUCAUCCAACUAAGACUAAAAAGAAGCAUCAACUCUCACCUGAAAGUCCUGGGAAACAAAUCAAGAAAACAAUGCACCCAAACUGCUUCCUCAAAAGUUUUACAUGUUGGUUAUUUUCUUCCGACAUUCAGCAUUCCCGAAUGCAGAGUGGCAAGCUGUGGGGAUUGAAAAGGAAGGAUAAAUACUUGGUGAAAAGCAGAA